rnacentral:rRNA from 1 species
AUACGGGGGGGGCGAGCGUUGUCCGGAAUUAUUGGGCGUAAAGGGCGCGUAGGCGGAAUAGUAAGUCAGAAGUGAAAAUCAUGGGCUUAACUCAUGACCUGCUUUUGAUACUGCUAUUCUCGAGUGCGAGAGAGGAAAGCGGAAUUCCCGGUGUAGCGGUGAAAUGCGUAGAUAUCGGGAAGAACACCGGUAGCGAAGGCGGCUUUCUGGCUCGCAACUGACGCUGAGGCGCGAAAGCGUGGGGAGCAAACAGGAUUAGAAACCCCGGUAGUCC